rnacentral:rRNA from 1 species
CUACGGGGCGCUCCAGUGGGGAAUAUUGGACAAUGGGCUAACCGCCUGAUCCAGCAAUUCUGUGUGGGUGAUGAAGGUUUUCGGAUUGUAAAACCCUUUCAGCAGGGAAGAAGAAAGUGACGGUUCCUGCAGAAGAAGCAACGGCUAAUUACGUGCCAGCAGCCGCGGUAAGACGUAAGUUGCAAGCGUUAUCCGGAAUUACUGGGCAUAAAGGGCAUCUAGGCGGUUUGAUAAGUCAGAGGUGAAAAGUCAGGGCUCAACCUUGGCCUUGCCUUUGAAACUGUCGAACUAGAGUACGGGAGAGGAGGGCGGAACUACAAGUGUAGGGGUGAAAUCCGUAGAUAUUUGUAGGAAUGCCAAUGACGAAGGUAGCUCUCUGGACCGAAACUGACGCUGAAGUGCGAAAGCUAGGGUAGCAAACGGGAUUAGAUACCCUUGUAGUC